ensembl:lncRNA novel transcript
GACCUGAAACUCAAAGCCUCAUCUCUACCUGAGGGGAUGGCAUUUGCUCAUCAGAGUGUGUUACCUUCUUUCCACCUCAGGUUUCAUCAUCUGAAAAUGAGAAGGCACAGCCCAGGCCCAGGAGGCAGGAUACCUGGGUCCUGCCCUGCCACCUGCCAUCACCAUCUCAGGAAACUUGCAGAGACGCAUCUAACUGCCCUGCCCCUCAAUCUCUGGUACUGCAAAACUGGGACUCAUUGUUCAGAGGCGAGCUCCUCCUAUCAAGAGGUGGGGUUUAUUUUCCCAUUGCUGAAUAUGGGUUGACCUUGCGAGUGGUGUUGACCAGAAGAAUGCAGUGGAGGUGACAUCAUGCAAGUAGACCUUAAGAGACAGUGCAACUUUCACUGGGGCCGUCCUGAAGCACUGCCCAGAAACCUCAGAUCAGGAAAUUGGUCUAGCCUUCUGGAAGACAAGAGUCCCCAGGGAGGAGCAUCAGGGUUUCCAGUCAAGUGUCCCAGCACAGCUGCUAGACAUGCGCCUGAGGCCAUCUUGGGACCUUCCAGCUGAGACAAGCAGAAAAUCACACAGCCAACUUAACAAAAUGU